UUGUUAAGCGUAAAUUUGUUCGAAAGUUCCGCGUUUCUUUGAGAUUUCGCAAACAAAUUGCGAUUAAGUAAACUCCAGUAAUGUAGGAAGGCAGAAAGGGCUUUUUGUGUCGCCUUUUUCUUAGGCUCGCUGGAGUAAUCUCUCAUCGGCCUUUUUAUUCGAGUUACUUUUUACUCAAACUAACUCCCUGUGUCCCGCAUCUUUAAGGCCCACUCGGACGCAGACAGGAAAUUUGACCAAAGGAGGAGAGGCUUUCUGUAUCCCGUUUCUGUAAGGUUUGCUCGGACGAAGACAGGAGACGUCAGCAAGGGGCUCAGAUGAUCCUCUGUUUCCCGCAUUAUUCAGGUUCGCUUGGACGAAGACAGGAGAGUAUAUAUAUAUAUACAGUAUAUAUAUAUUUUAUUAAUGAAGUUCGGCAUGAGAUUGAACUAAACUAUGUGGCCCUAACGUGCAUUUUAUUACGACCAGGGUCGAUGAAAGUUUGCGGGGAUAGCUAAAACUUAUCAAGCAACUUGAACCAAUCUUCCAACUUACUUUGUCGACUUCUUGUGUAUAUAAGUGUAAGGUGGGGUGAAAGUGUGAUAGGAAAGAUGGUAGCGAUGGGAGAGACCGUCAGCACGAGCGACACAGUUAAUUUGAAUAGAAAACAAAAGGUACGUAAGCUCACUUUUAAAAGAAAUCAGUUAAUUUCGCGUCAGUGAUGGUCUUGAGCAGGGGUUCCCUAAGUGUGCGCUGCGGCGACGUAAAGAGUAAACAGCGAUGUCGCGAAGGCUUCAAAGCUAAUUGAACUUUCUAUCCAGACUGCAUCGUUCCCGUAGCUUGUAGAACUUUCUAGAAGACUUAAGACACACGAGUCAUCGACACCAUGUUAUGGUGACUGUCAUCAG